rnacentral:tRNA from 1 species
GUCUUCGUGGUGUAAUGGUCAGCACGCUCGACACGUAACCUAGAGGCCCGUGGUUCGAAUCCCGGCGAAGACU